GAGGCUGAAAGAGAGCUCAGCAGAUGUCAGGCCAGGCAGCCUAGCCCUGCAAUGUCCAGGUAAAAAAUGUGAAAUGCUGAGAACCUCUAUGCUGCCUCCAGGGGAUACAGAGCGGAGGGACAAUUGCACAAGAGUGUUUAUAGAUCCAGCACAGACAAUCUGUGCAGGAGAUGAUUGUAUCUGAGUCCUACCGUCCACAGCUGCAAGAUAAAGGAGGAGCACUGAAUUGAUGUUCAUGAUGGAGAUGCACGUACCUCUGGAAGGAUGAACCUGGGACCAUGCCAGAAAUCCCACCAAGAGCUAAUGAUGGGAAUGGGAUUUGUGCUUCCACAGUACCAGGUCUGGAUGCUGAUGGAUCAUUCCACAAAAGGGAUCUGAAGAAAACCAGGUCUGAGUUUUGAAUAAAUUUCAGUUCAUUUAGCCAGAAUGCCUAAUAUAGGUGUUAGGCAGCAGGUAUAUUUUCAUACACUCCUGACCCAGCAUACACCACAUUGAAUACAGUGUUAACAGUGUAAUUCCCUGCCAACAUCAGCCAAGCUAAACCUGGGUUGCUGCCACCUUGUCCUCUCCGCUCUGUGCCUGCCAAUAGAAAGAGCUGGCUUUCUGCCCACCCAACUCCAUC